UCCCUGGUGGUCCAGUGGUUAGGACUCUGUAUUCUCACUGCUGCGGGCCCGGUUCGAUCCCUGGUUGGGGAA